GCUUGUGUGCUGUAGUGGUUUGAGUAUUAGACUAUGAAUCUGGAGACCAGGGUUAAAAUCCUUGCUCUGCCA